UCUUUAAAACUAAAGAAUUUGGCGGCAUUUUAGUCUUGUUAGAGGAACCUGUUUAAUAAUCGAUAAGCCACGAAUAAUUUUACUUAUUUUUAGGAUUUGUAUACCGUCAUUAUUAGAUAACUUUUAUAGAAUUAGAUAUUAAAAUUUUAGAGAAAUGUGUAUAUUAGAUCAAGGUGCAGUUUAUAGGUAAGUAUAAAUGGGUUACAAUAAUAGUUUAUUAUUACGGAUUUAAUUGUGAAAAAAUAUUUUGAAGGAGGAUUUAAUUGUAUUCUUUUUUUAAUAAGGAAAGUUGG
rnacentral:rRNA from 1 species